rnacentral:snoRNA from 1 species
CAUCUGUGAUGAUCCUAUCCCGAACCUGAAUUCUUUGCUGAAAAACCUACAACGGAUCCGGCAUCUGAGAU